AUCAUUUUGAGCAGUACCCUGGGUCCUCUCUCACAAUUAGGACUUGUGUCACAGUCAUGACAUAAACCAUGUGGCAAUUGCUGGGGUGCAGUCGUAGGGCAUGCCUCCUACAUUCCUCCAGCAACAAUAUGCUGUCACACCUUCCAGGGGAACCCCAGUUGAGAAUCACCAUUGAAUUGAUACACUGUUCUUAUUUGGCCUUUCCCUCAGGAAGCUUACGCUACCCACAGAGGAGUAAUACACAUUUGCAGGUAACCGUUUUCUCCACGGUGAUAUCACUGAUGCCACCGUAUUGUAUUAUCUUCCACAUUGUUUUGCUCUGCCUCUUCAUCUGGUUUCAAUCUUCCCAACAAGAGUAAUCUCCUUGCAGGCUUGAACUAUAUCUUUUGUGACCUUCAGUUCCUAAUAGGCACCCAGUAAGUGU
rnacentral:lncRNA from 1 species